UUAACGGAUAAUGAAACAAUGACUGAGCGCUGAACAGCUCUAAUGCUUCGUUAAUCCCAUCCUCUGACGGUAUCCUACCGAUAUUCUCGGCGAACUGAACUUGAAAUCGUAAUAUCUACAAUUAUGGCAGAUAGGUAUGUUGUGUUCUGUAUUAGUGCAGAUAAGAUAAAAUGAGUGAAUCGAGAUAAAGGUAGGAACAUUGAGUCAAUAUUGACGUUUAAAAGACAAAGCCGGAAGUUGAAAUAAUUAGAAGCGGUAGUUUAUGCGAAAUUGUGUUCUUGGCAACUGCGGAUUCUACGGUGAAUCUACGGGCUUAAUGUUGACCUUACUCGGCCGUCACAAAGCAACCGGAGCAGCGUUCGCGUGCACUUAUUGUACUUUCGUGGCUAUAAUUCAACGUUUGUGAGCCCGCAUUGAAACACGCGGCGGUCGUGUGUCCUACCAAGGCUGACUAAUUCCCGGAAUUGGUGCAAGACUUGCCGACAACGCGCGUAAACUUCUCUCUUUCGCGUGUCCUUACAUACUAAUUCAUCGAUCUGCAUCGAACUUUACAUGGCUUUCAGUAUACCAGAAGUUUCUCGUUAACGCUUCGCUGACCGCAGAACGACAAAUGCUCGCCCUUAUCAGUUUUAUCUCGUGAAAAGGUGUAAUAUUACGUCAAUGGUUCCCAUCAGCUACGAGGAACAAAAAGACGCUCUACUACGUCAACGAUCGCAAAAAAGAUGUUAAAAUUAUAUUCUUUCGUCUCUAUGGCGAUAUUAGCUCUUUCGGAGCUCGUACAUUAACGUUGCAGCGGUGUUCCGAUUUCCGAGAAUUUUCGCGUAUGUAGUUUAUAAUUAGUACAUUUCGCAAAACGUGUCGGCGCUUUGUUAUGGGCGCGACCGCAUAUGUACACGAUUUAUCGAUCCGAAACCGAUUAUACGGUUCUGUAGCGCGCGUAAACCCGUGUACACAUUUUCCAAACAAUACAAGCGCGAGCGCGAACACAAGCAUACGCUAGUUGAGUGUGUGCGCAUCCGCGUGUAUGCACGUGCACGUGUCAACCUCGCGACCGCCAAUGUCGUCGACAGUCACGGCCGCGCGGCGACUCGCUUUUUCGCAGUCCUCUAUUUUCUCGCCGUUAGUUAUUUCUGAAAUGCGACCGUACAGUAGCGUCCGUCAUCGGUAGACAUUAGCGUUUUGCCUCUACUCGGCUUUACAUACGAGAGCGUCUCUUAUAGGAGAAAUACUUUACUCACGGGGAACUGUCAC